rnacentral:rRNA from 1 species
AUGCCAGCCGAACAAGUGGAAGAACAGAUUGCAGAUUCAGUUGAAGCUAUAGAGGAAGAGAAUGUUGAAGUUCUAGGAGCUGAAGUAAAUCCGCACGUCACAUGUUCCAAUGCGACAACAACGGCAAGUUGCUACAGGAAUUCCGAUGGAAAUCAUGCGCUUUGGAUGUUAUUGGACUUGGACAUUGUUUUAAAGAAAGCCUCGUCAAGCACGAAUUUUUCCCGAGGCGAGUUGUUGGACAAGAAAGAUUUUUCCAAAGUCUCUAAGCCUCUAAGGUUUGUGAGUUGGAUACGAGAAGCGCAAGAAAAAUAG